UGAGUACAAGAUGCUACGGCAUUGAAGCAGUCUAUGUCAUACUUCCAAGAAAAGCUUGCAAUGUCAUAAACAAAUAAUGCCUGUACCAUAACCGACACAGGUGGGUAGGUAGAGUAUACUAAGGGGCGCGAGAUAACUCUCUCUAAGGAACUCGGCAAAAUGACUCCGUAACUUCGGGAGAAGGAGUACCUUAUUUUAUAAGGUUGCAAUAACAAGGUCCAAGCAACUGUUUACCAAAAACACAGGUCUCCGCUAAGUCGUAAGACGAUGUAUGGGGGCUGACGCCUGCCCAGUGCCAGAAGGUUAAAGAAGUUGGUUAGCAUUAGCGAAGCUGAUAACUGAAGCCCUGGUGAACGGCGGCCGUAACAAUAACGGUCCUAAGGUAGCGAAAUUCCUUGUCGGGUAAGUUCCGACCCGCACGAAAGGCGUAAUGAUUUGGAUACUGUCUCGGAGAGGGGCUCGGUGAAAUAGACUUGUCUGUGAAGAUGCGGACUACCUGCACCUGGACAGAAAGACCCUAUGAAGCUUUACUGUAACUUGAGAUUGAAAUUGGACUUUAUUUGCGCAGUAUAGGUGGGAGACCUCGAAAGUAUUCUUGCGGGAAUAUUGGAGUCAUCAGUGAGAUACCACUCUUAUAAUGUUAGAUUUCUAACUUUGUAUCAUUAUCUGGUCAAAGAACAGUUUCAGGCGGGCAGUUUGACUGGGGCGGUCGCCUCCCAAAUGGUAACGGAGGCGCACAAAGGUUUCCUCUGAACGUGUAGAAAUCGUAUCUAGAGUGUAAAGGCAUAAGGAAGCUUGACUGUGAGACCUACAAGUCGAGCAGGGACGAAAGUCGGUCUUAGUGAUCUGACGGUGCUGAGUGGAAAGGCCGUCACUCAACGGAUAAAAGUUACUCUAGGAUAACAGGCUGAUCUCCCCCAAGAGUUCACAUCGACGGGGAGGUUUGGCACCUUGAUGUCGGCUCAUCGCAUCCUGGGGCGGUAGUACGUCCCAAGGGUUGGGCUGUUCGCCCAUGAAAGCGGUACGCGAGCUGGGUUCAGAACGUCGUGAGACAGUUCGGUCCAUAUCCGGUGUAGGCGUUAGAAUAUUGAGAGGAGCCUUCUUUAGUACGAGAGGACCGAGAAGGACAUACCUCUGGUGUACCAGUUAUCGUGCCAACGGUAAACGCUGGGUAGCUAUGUAUGGAGAGGAUAACCGCUGAAAGCAUCUAAGUGGGAAGCCCACCUCAAGAUAAGUA
rnacentral:rRNA from 1 species